CUGGUGGAAACGGUGGAAACCUCCUUUGAGAGAUAAAGAAAGUGAGUCUCAGAGAAAGAAAAGGGCCUUGUGCAAAUUCACGUGAUCUCCUGUAUGUGAAACAAAGAGUUGGACCAGAGCUGAGAAUUUGCAUCUACACUGUUUGGGGACACGUCCACGCCCAGCAAGGACCCAGGAGGGCAAGGUCAAGAUGGUGCAGCGCUCUCUCCUCCUGUUACUGUGCGGCAUGGACGUGAGCCUCCCUGGAGGGAUGCUGUACCUUCCUCUUUGCUGAAGACUCGGCCCAGCAGGACUCCAGCCCCACCCUUGAGAAGAGCCAGGAACACCCACACCUGGAGCAGCCCCUGAGCCAGCAAGCAGCCUUCACAGCCCUGGUGUCAUUGGCUGAGACGCAGGAAGCCUCAGAGAGAGAAGCUGCUCCCCACAUACCGCACACCCUGCACACCGGCAUCCCUAGUCAGAUCGGACCGAAAGAUAAGUCUCCACUUCCUGGGCAGGCCUGACGGCUCCCAGUGAAAAGCAGGGCAACCCCUAUGGAAUGGCAGC